UACGUAGGGGGCUAGCGUUGUCCGGAUUUAUUGGGCGUAAAGAGCGUGUAGGCGGCCAGGUAGGUGGGUUGUGAAAACUGGAGGCUCAACCUUCAGACGUCGACCCAAACCCCCUGGCUAGAGUCCGGAAGAGGAGAGUGGAAUUCCUGGUGUAGCGGUGAAAUGCGCAGAUAUCAGGAGGAACACCGGUGGCGAAGGCGGGUCUCUGGGCCGAUACUGACGCUGGAGGAGCGAAAGCGUGGGGAGCGAACAGG
rnacentral:rRNA from 1 species